rnacentral:RNase_P_RNA from 1 species
GAGGCGGGUCGGACGGUCGCUGCGGCGCUCGCGUCGCCGAGGAAAGUCCGGGCACCAAAGGGCAAGGCACUCGCUAACAGCGAGGCUGCAAGCUGGAAACAGCCUGCGGACGGAAAGUGCCACAGAAACUACACCGCUUGCGCUCUGCGCAAGUAAGGGUGAAAAAGUGCGGUAAGAGCGCACUGACCCGAAUGGUGACAUUCGGGUCGGACAAACCCUGCCCGGUGCAAGACCAACAUGAGAACAGGACCGGCCCGGUCCGCGAUGAUUCUCGGGUAGGUCGCUUGAGGCACGCGGGUAACUGCGUGUCCAGAUAAAUGACCGUCACGCGCCCCGGCGCGCACAGAACCCGGCUUACAGACCCGCCUCCGCU